CGGGAGGCAGCAGUGGGGAAUCUUCCGCAAUGGGCGAAAGCCUGACGGAGCAACGCCGCGUGAGUGACGAAGGCCCUUGGGUCGUAAAACUCUGUCUUCAGGGAAGAAAAAAAUGACGGUACCUGAGGAGGAAGCCCCGGCUAACUACGUGCCAGCAGCCGCGGUAAAACGUAGGGGCGAGCGUUGUCCGGAAUUACUGGGCGUAAAGGGCGUGUAGGCGGUUCGCGAAGUCAGGAGUGAAAACUCGGGGCUCAACCUCGAGAUUGCUUUUGAAACCAGCGGGCUUGAGUGCAGGAGAGGAAAGUGGAAUUCCCAGUGUAGCGGUGAAAUGCGUAGAUAUUGGGAGGAACACCAGUGGCGAAAGCGGCUUUCUGGCCUGUAACUGACGCUGAGGCGCGAAAGCGUGGGGAGCAAACAGGAUUAGAUACCCUGGUAGUCCACGCCGUAAACGAUGGGUGCUAAGUGUUGGGGGUAUCGACCCCCUCAGUGCUGUAGUUAACGCAAUAAGCACCCCGCCUGGGGAGUACGGUCGCAAGACUGAAACUCAAAGGAAUUGACGGGGGCCCGCACAAGCGGUGGAGCAUGUGGUUUAAUUCGACGCAACGCGAAGAACCUUACCAGGGAUUGACAUCCCCUGACCGGGCAUGAAAGUGUCCUUUCCCUUCGGGGACGGG
rnacentral:rRNA from 1 species